rnacentral:pre_miRNA from 1 species
UUAACUCAUAUUUGUAUGGAAUGGGAUCGUUUGCGUACGUUUGCCGCUAGGGGCGCUGUUCCUACUGCAUACAAAAUUGGGUUA